rnacentral:lncRNA from 1 species
UUUUUUUUUUUUUUUUUUUUUUGAGGCAGAGUCUCACUCUGUGGCCUAGACUGGAGUGCAAUGGCAUGAUUUCAUCUCACUGAAACCUCCAUCUCCCGGGUUCAAACGAUUUUCCUGCCUCAGCCUCCUGAGUAGCUGGAACUACAGGUGCAGCCACCACACCUGGGUAAUUUUUGUAUUUUUAGUAGAGACGGGGUUUUACCAUGUUGGCCACACUGGUCUUGAACUCCUGACCUCAUGAUCCACCCGCCUCGGUCUCUCAAAGUGCUGGGAUUAUAGGCGUGAGCCACCACGUCUGGCACAAAAAAAAUGUAUUUCUUAAAAAGGCUCUAAUAAAAAACAUUUGAAAGCCACUGUUCUAGGUGAUAAUGAUUGUAAGAUCUUUGUGUAUAGUUCUUGCUAGCUCAGUCUUAUUAAUAGUUUCAUUGAGAGAGAAUUCAACAGGUAUUUGUUUGUAAGUACUAACAAAAAAUUGUACAUUCAAUACUUAUCAAACAAAAGUUACAUGAUCUUAUUCUUCCACUAUUAAAUUUUUAUUUUAUUUUUAAAUUUUGAUUUUUUGGCAUUUCACCUGCAAGUCUUUUUGUCUUAUUAGAGUCACACUAUGUGAUGGUAUUUUUUCUUUAUCCACAAUCUCCCCUGACUCCCCUGUUACUAUUAUGGAAUAAUGUAAAGUUAAGAAUUAAUUAUGAUUACAGUAGUUAUGGGUAAUUAGGUACUAUGAAUCAAAUCUUAGAAAUCACUUUCAUUAUUGUAAUAGUGCCUCAGAAAACAAUUUUUCCUCUUUGACUUUUUAAAUUGUUAAUACUAUCAUAAAUGGCAUUUAUGUAUUCAUUUACCAAAUAUUGAUCAAAAACUACUUUGUGUCUACCAUCAGAAUUUAAAAGACACCUUCCUAGAUCAUAGAGAAGGCUUACUGACAUGGCACAUACAGAAUGGUAAACAGAUAGCUACAUUACACAAUGAGAUAAGUGCUUCAAUAACAAUAUAGAGCUGUAAGGGAGUGAAUUGAAGAGAUACUCCCCUAUUCUUAAAUGUUCAGUGAAAUUCCUUUGUCCCAAAGUGCUAGUUAAACGAAGACAUAAAGAAUAGUCUAGCAAAAAAAAAAAAAAAAAAAAAA